UAGAGUGGUCACAAACUAGCUAUCUCUAGUCUAACCUUUGUUUUUGUGUGCUAAGUAACUUUGUUUAUGCUCCUUCGCAGGCUGAAACCCUGAUUCUUGGAUUUACCUCGCUGAGCACAGACUUCAGUCUCAGAGGUUCUGUGGGUUAAGACUUCUUACGUUUUUGAGGACUUCAUUUUCUGAACUACUGACUUCAACUGGAUUUCGUUCUGGCUGGCAGCCUUCCGGAAUCCUCCGUUUCUUGGAUCAAGACAUUAAGCCUACCCUGUCCACCUUCCAACGUAAGCAUCUGCAUCUUGGAUACCUACAUGGCUUUUCCAGUCUGCCUCAAACAGCACCAGAGGAAACAUCAGAACGAACUUUGCUCCGUAAACCGAAACCCCAAAUCCCUCAACCCCUGGUGACCUGACUGCAUCUACUUAUUGGAGAUUCACUCGUUCAUGUUCCUGAUUACUUGUUGCACAAUGAAACAUUAUUUUACUGAU